GAUGAACGCUGGCGGCGUGCCUAACACAUGCAAGUCGAGCGGCCGGACGAUAAGCUUGCUCCUUUGCGGUUAGCGACGGACGGGCGAGUAACACGUGGAUAACCUACUUAUAUGACUGGGGUAACUUCGGGAAACCGGAGCUGCUACCAGAUAAUACGUUGAACCGCAUGGAUCAAAAGUGCAUGACGCUCUUCCUGUUUCUUAUAGAUGGUUCCGCGCUGCAUUAGCUAGUUGGUAAGGUAACGGCUAACCAAGGCAACGAUGCAUAGCCGAUCUGAGAGGGUGAUCGGCCACACUGGAACUGAGACACGGUCCAGACUCCUACGGGAGGCAGCAGUAGGGAAUCUUGGACAAUGGGCGAAAGCCUGACGGAGCAACGCCGCGUGGGUGAUGAAGGUCUUCGGAUCGUAAAACUCUGUUAUUAGGGAAGAACAGAUGUGGGAGUAUCUGCGGACAUCUUGACGGUACCUAAUCAGAAAGCAACGGCUAACUACGUG
rnacentral:rRNA from 1 species